UACGGGGGGGGCAAGCGUUGUUCGGAAUUACUGGGCGUAAAGGGCUCGUAGGCGGCCAACUAAGUCAGACGUGAAAUCCCUCGGCUUAACCGGGGAACUGCGUCUGAUACUGGAUGGCUGGAGUUUGGGAGAGGGAUGCGGAAUUCCAGGUGUAGCGGUGAAAUGCGUAGAUAUCUGGAGGAACCCCGGUGGCCAAGGCGGCGACCUGGGUCGAGACUGACGCUGAGGCGCGAAAGCGUGGGGAGCAAACAGG
rnacentral:rRNA from 1 species